rnacentral:rRNA from 1 species
AACGAACGCUGGCGGCAUGCCUAACACAUGCAAGUCGAACGGGAUCCUAGCUUGCUAGGUGAGAGUGGCGGACGGGUGAGUAACACGUGGGAAUCUGCCUUUUGGUUCGGGAUAACCGCGGGAAACUGCGGCUAAUACCGAAUGCCCUCGAGAGAGGAAAGAUUUAUCGCCAGAAGAGGAGCCCGCGUCCGAUUAGGUAGUUGGUGGGGUAAAGGCCUACCAAGCCGACGAUCGGUAGCUGGUCUGAGAGGAUGAUCAGCCACACUGGGACUGAGAUACGGCCCAGACUCCUACGGGAGGCAGCAGUGGGAAUAUUGGACAAUGGGGGCAACCCUGAUCCAGCAAUGCCGCGUGAGUGAUGAAGGCCUUAGGGUUGUAAAGCUCUUUUACCAGGGAUGAUAAUGACAGUACCUGGAGAAUAAGCUCCGGCUAACUCCGUGCCAGCAGCCGCGGUAAU